rnacentral:rRNA from 1 species
CCAGCAGCCGCGGUAAUUCCAGCUCCAACGGCGUAUAUUAACGUUGUUGCAGUUAAAAAGCUCGUAGUUGAAGCUAUGAUAUGUCCUUUGAAAUUUCUGUGGGAGUUGCCUUCGGGUGAUUUCUAUAGUGUUUUUAGGCAUGUCGUAUUUUUGCUGUUUUUGGUGUAAGUGGCUUCACUGUCGCUUGCAGCUUGCAGCAUAUUACUGUGAAAAAAUUAGAGUGUUCCAAGCAGAUGUAUAUCUGAAUAGUUCAGCAUGGAAUAAUGGAAUAGGGGAGAUUGCCCUAUCGUUGGUUUUGGGGUGGUUUCUGAUGAUGAAUAGGGACAGUUGGGGGCAUUAGUAUUUAAUUGUCAGAGGUGAAAUUCGAGGAUUUAUGAAAGACUAACUUCUGCGAAGGCAUUUGCCAAGGAUGUUUUCAUUGAUCAAGAACGAAAGU